rnacentral:rRNA from 1 species
UACGAAGGUGGCAAGCGUUGUUCGGAUUUACUGGGCGUACAGGGAGCGUAGGCGGUUGGAUAAGCCCUCCGUGAAAUCUCCAGGCUUAACCUGGAAAGUGCAGAGGGGACUGUUCAGCUAGAGGAUGGGAGAGGAGCGCGGAAUUCCCGGUGUAGCGGUGAAAUGCGUAGAGAUCGGGAGGAAGGCCGGUGGCGAAGGCGGGCGCUCUGGGCCGCAACUGACGCUGAGGCA